rnacentral:rRNA from 1 species
CCUACGGGUGGCUGCAGUGGGGAAUAUUGCACAAUGGUCGGAACACUGAUGCAGCGACGCCGCGUGAGUGAAGAAGGAUUUCGGUAUGUAAAGCUCUAUCAGCAGGGAAGAAAAGGACGGUACCUGACUACGAAUCCCCGGCUAACUACGUGCCAGCAGCCGCGGUAAUACGGAGGGGGCAAGCGUUAUCCGGAUUUACUGGGUGUAAAGGGAACGUAGACGGUUAUGCGAGUUUGAAGUGAAAGCCGAAGGCUCAACCCUGGGACUGCCUUUGAAACUGGAAGACUGGAGUGCAGGAGAGGUAAGCGGAAUGCCGGGUGUAGCGGUGAAAUGCGUAGAUAUUAGGAGGAACACCAGGGGCGAAGGCGGCUUACUGGACUGUCACUGACGUUGAGGCACGAAGGCGUGGGUAGCAAACAGGAUUAGAUACCCGAGUAGUC